GGUACCAACUCUUCGAGCGGCUUCUGAGCGCCGGGCGGAUAGGGCGCUAGGGCUGGGCAAGAAGUUUGCAGAAGCUGGCGGGUCCGUAGGUGGCGCCGGAACGUCUGUGCUCUCUUCACCUCUCCUACCAGGAGAGCCAUGGCCCGGGCGCCCCACGAUGGAUCCAGGCUUAGGGUCCGCCACGCCCUGCGACAAGUCUGUCCCAAGACCCGGGCUGAGGACAAGGGGCACGGAUUGAAGUCCGGGGAACCUGGCAGUCUGCAGCUUCAACAAGCGGCUUGAGAAUGUAUUCAGAAUCUGACUACCUGUAACACCUCCACUGCCACCCCUGGUCCAGGCCCACCACUGUCUCUGCGGCAGCCUCACAGGUCUCCCCACUUCUGCUCUAGCUUCCCUGCUGCCCACAGAGAAGAAUUUGUGGGCUUGUCUACUCCUAGUACCCCAAUGCCUAGAAUUGGGCCUGGCACGCUGUUCCAGAAAUCCCUGAUGGAUGAAUGAAUGAAUUUCACAGGAUGCAAACGAAGGCCCACACAUGACUGCUGCAGACUCCAAGAGGAAUUCACAACGCUUCAAAAGCAUUCAUGCAGUGUUAGCCUGUGUGCUGCACAUACUACCGACGGACUGUCCCAUCCUCCAGAAACAAAAUUAAGUGAUCCUAACGCAGGCAAGGGAACUGAGUUUAAAGAAAAGAAAGAACAAAAUCCCACUGAAGUAGGUAGCAGCAAGGGAUGGGGGCAACCUGGAGUGCAGCCAGGCAGCUUCCCUUCUACAGCAUUUACUGGAAGACGCAUGCUACACAUCUCUUCGAGCUCCAUCUGGGCAGAGGACACGGGUGCCAGCUUGGGUGAAUCUGCAUCUUUGCAUGAUCAACUCCCACCACUCCAAAGGUGAAAGCCAGGCCACUGCCAUUAUCUUUCCAUAGCUUCUCAAAUGAGAGCCAGGGCCCACCCUCGUCCCAGUUUGUUUCCAGAUUCCAAGACUGACUACCUGCUUGUCAAGUUCUGUGUGGGAAACGUUAACAAUGUUCACAUUACCAUUUGAUGCUAUCUGGGUUUAUGACAUCUCAGAAAGUCUUUCUGUUGACAUGUGUUUUAAACAAUGGAAAUUCUUUCCAGGAACAUAGUCCUUCAGAAUAUAUCCGGACUGGACCACCUGGACCACAUCCACUGCUACCACACGUUGCAAGCCCCUGAUUAGUACAACAGCCUCCUAAUGGGUCUCUCCACCCUCGUCUCACCUCACCUCACAGAGAAGCCAGAAUGAUCCUAUUAAAAUUCUAAGGCACCUCCUGUCACUGCUCUUGUUAGUCCUCUGGCUCAGAAUAAAACCCAGUCUUCACCGUGGCGUCCAACAUUCCGAAGCCUGAAUGCACACACCAGAAUCACCAAGGAAACUUUCACAAAUACUUUCAAGGCUCUACCCCAGGUCAGUUCAGUCAGAAUCUCUGGGGUUGGGACCAGGCUUUUUCUCUUUUAAAGCUUCUCAGGUGACUGAAGUAUGCAGCUAUGCCGAGGAACCCUGUGUUAUACAAACUCCAGUCACCUCUGCUUUCCACCUACCCGAGCCCUCCUACCUCUACCGCCCUGGCUUAGUCUCAGUCACAACGGCCUCCCGGCAUUUCUCUGGCAAGUCGGAAACUCUUGUGUUUCAGGGCUUUGCACCUGCUGUUCCCCCUGCCUGGGAUGCUCUUCUCCUGGACAGCGACAAUGACUGGCUCACUCCCCAUAGCAUUCAAAACAAGUUUUUUUUUUUCUUUUAAGCUUAUUUAUUUAAACAGUCUCUACACCUAACGGGCGUCUUGAACUCAUGACCCCGAGAUCAAGAGCCGCAUGCUCUACUGACUGAGCUGGCCAGGUGUCCCUGCUCCCCAGAGCAUUCAGAUAUCUAUCCAAGGUGUCCCCUCAUCAGUGAGGCCUUCCCACACAAGUCCCCAUGUAAAAGGGCAGCUCACCUUCCCACGUCCUGCCCCCUUACCCAGUAUUUAGUUCUUCACAGCACUGACCCCCACCUAACAUGUUAUAUAGUCAUUUGUUCUUUGUCUUCCUUGGUCAAAUGGUAGCCCCUCAACAGCAGGGGCUCUGGCCACCUCAUUCACUGUUGUAUCUUCGCAACCUAGGUAGAGCGGUGCCUGGUACCCAGUAAUUGUUCUGUAAAUAUGUGUUAAACGAGCGAAUUAAACUUCACAGAACCUGUUCACGAUAAUAUCUAUUGAAAGAAUGUAUAGAGGGACGCCUGGGUGGCUCAGUUGGUUAAGUGUCCAACUUCAGCUCAGGUCAUGAUCUCGCAGCUUGUGAGUUUAAGCCCCGAAUCAGGCUCUGUGCUGAGAGCUCAGAGCCUGGAGCCUGCUUCAGAAUCUGUGCCUCCCUAUCGCUCUGCCCCUCUCCCACUCACAUUUUGUCUCUCUCUCCUUCAAAAAUAAAUGAAUGUUAAAAAAAAAAAAUGUAUAGAGCUCCAUUUUCACAGAAUGCCUACCCUAUGAGACAUUUAUUUUAAGAAAACAAGUUAAGGAGAAAAACUUUGUGUUUGAAGAAGAAAAUGUCCAAAGCAGCAUAAACCAAUCUGAUAUACCUGCCCUGAUCAAUCCUGCCUCCUCUUUAUCCCUGGAACAGAUUUUCCUGGAGGUGGUGAUGCUUGUGUUAUAACCACUGGUACUGGGGCAGGAAAUGGGAGACCCCCAUGCCUAUGCUACCUUUGUGUUUGUUUCAUUUUGUUUCCUUUUCUAAAAACAACGAUCGCCAUCUCCCACGAUGAACUACACUAAGACUGAAACACAACCAAACUCAGACUUGUAAACCAUCUCUAAGUUGCUGAGCUAUUAGAGAAGGGAUCUCCCCACAGAAUGGUGUGGACAGCCUUCCACCUUGAUCUCGUAAAAUCACCAUCCAAUUUAUAAUAAAUGGAGCCUGAGGAGGACUCGACCUCACUCUUCUAAAACCAUGAAGUGUACCAGAAAGGAGGGACGAGAUGGUAGUUUUACCUGUG